AUGCAAGUCGAGCGGUACAGAUCUAGCUUGCUAGAUGCUGACGAGCGGCGGAYKGGUGAGUAAUGCAUAGGAAUCUGCCCGGUAGUGGGGGAUAACCUGGGGAAACCCAGGCUAAUACCGCAUACGUCCUACGGGAGAAAGGGGGCUCCGGCUCCCGCUAUUGGAUGAGCCUAUGUCGGAUUAGCUAGUUGGUGAGGUAAUGGCUCACCAAGGCGACGAUCCGUAGCUGGUCUGAGAGGAUGAUCAGCCACAUCGGGACUGAGACACGGCCCGAACUCCUACGGGAGGCAGCAGUGGGGAAUAUUGGACAAUGGGGGGAACCCUGAUCCAGCCAUGCCGCGUGUGUGAAGAAGGCCUUCGGGUUGUAAAGCACUUUCAGCGAGGAAGAACGCCUAGUGGUUAAUACCCAUUAGGAAAGACAUCACUCGCAGAAGAAGCACCGGCUAACUCCGUGCCAGCAGCCGCGGUAAUACGGAGGGUGCAAGCGUUAAUCGGAAUUACUGGGCGUAAAGCGCGCGUAGGUGGCUUGAUAAGCCGGUUGUGAAAGCCCCGGGCUCAACCUGGGAACGGCAUCCGGAACUGUCAAGCUAGAGUGCAGGAGAGGAAGGUAGAAUUCCCGGUGUAGCGGUGAAAUGCGUAGAGAUCGGGAGGAAUACCAGUGGCGAAGGCGGCCUUCUGGACUGACACUGACACUGAGGUGCGAAAGCGUGGGUAGCAAACAGGAUUAGAUACCCUGGUAGUCCACGCCGUAAACGAUGUCGACCAGCCGUUGGGUGCCUAGCGCACUUUGUGGCGAAGUUAACGCGAUAAGUCGACCGCCUGGGGAGUACGGCCGCAAGGUUAAAACUCAAAUGAAUUGACGGGGGCCCGCACAAGCGGUGGAGCAUGUGGUUUAAUUCGAUGCAACGCGAAGAACCUUACCUACUCUUGACAUCCUGCGAAUUUGGUAGAGAUACCUUAGUGCCUUCGGGAACGCAGAGACAGGUGCUGCAUGGCUGUCGUCAGCUCGUGUUGUGAAAUGUUGGGUUAAGUCCCGUAA
rnacentral:rRNA from 1 species